rnacentral:rRNA from 1 species
GACGAACGCUGGCGGCGUGCUUAACACAUGCAAGUCGAGCGGUAAGGCCCUUUCGGGGGUACGACGAGCGGCGAACGGGUGAGUAACACGUGGGUGACCUGCCCUCGGCUCUGGGAUAAGCCUGGGAAACUGGGUCUAAUACUGGAUAUGACUCCACGGUGCAUGUCGUGGGGUGGAAAGCCUUGUGCGGCUGAGGAUGGGCCCGCGGCCUAUCAGCUUGUUGGUGGGGUGAUGGCCUACCAAGGCGACGACGGGUAGCCGGCCUGAGAGGGCGACCGGCCACACUGGGACUGAGACACGGCCCAGACUCCUACGGGAGGCAGCAGUGGGGAAUCUUGCGCAAUGGGCGAAAGCCUGACGCAGCGACGCCGCGUGAGGGAUGACGGCCUG